rnacentral:rRNA from 1 species
GCCUACGGGAGGCAGCAGUGGGGAAUUUUCCGCAAUGGGCGCAAGCCUGACGGAGCAAUACCGCGUGCGGGAGGAAGGCUUUUGGGUCGUAAACCGCUUUUAUUGGGGAAGAAGAUCUGACGGUAACCCAACUGACUCACGACUC